AUUGAACGCUGGCGGCAUGCCUUACACAUGCAAGUCGAACGGUAACAGGUCUUCGGAUGCUGACGAGUGGCGAACGGGUGAGUAAUACAUCGGAACGUGCCUAGUAGUGGGGGAUAACUACUCGAAAGAGUGGCUAAUACCGCAUGAGAUCUACGGAUGAAGGCAGGGGAUCGCAAGACCUUGUGCUACUAGAGCGGCCGAUGGCAGAUUAGGUAGUUGGUGGGAUAAAAGCUUACCAAGCCGACGAUCUGUAGCUGGUCUGAGAGGACGAUCAGCCACACUGGGACUGAGAAACGGCCCAGACUCCUACGGGAGGCAGCAGUGGGGAAUUUUGGACAAUGGGCGAAAGCCUGAUCCAGCAAUGCCGCGUGCAGGAUGAAGGCCUUCGGGUUGUAAACUGCUUUUGUACGGAACGAAAAGCCCCGGGUUAAUACCCUGGGGUCAUGACGGUACCGUAAGAAUAAGCACCGGCUAACUACGUGCCAGCAGCCGCAGUAA
rnacentral:rRNA from 1 species